AAGAAAUAGAGAUUUUGGAAGUUUCAAGUGGAGAAGAAGCUUGAAGGAGCUCUCUAAUGGUGGAUUUAGCUUGGAAAGAUAUGUAGUCAAGGAUAAUUCGACGCAGAGGACAACUUCGUUUUGGAUUAAGACGAGGUUAUGGUGUCCGAUUGAGAGAUUUGCGGAAUUUGGUUCGUUAGGCUUGGGUCGAGCUAAGACGGUAACGGUAAAUUGCGGGACUUGAUUUCUCGCUUCUUGACGUUGAUAUGAGAGCCACCAUUCGUGGAGCGGCACCGGAUCGAGGCGUGGGCGUUGCGCCCUAGAUAGCAGGGUCACCCAGUUUAGGUCGCCC